GGGCUCACUUCAGCAGCACCUAUACUAAAAUUGGGAUAAUACAGAGAAGAUUAGCAUGGCUGCUGCACAAGGAUGACACACAAAUUCAUGAAGCAUUCCAUAUUAAA
ensembl:snRNA U6 U6 spliceosomal RNA